AAGUAACGAUAAAGCGGGUGAAAAGCCCGCUCGCCGGAAGACCAAGGGUUCCUGUCCAACGUUAAUCGGGGCAGGGUGAGUCGACCCCUAAGGCGAGGCCGAAAGGCGUAGUCGAUGGGAAACGGGUUAAUAUUCCCGUACUUGGUGUUACUGCGAAGGGGGGACGGAGAAGGCUAUGUUGGCCGGGCGACGGUUGUCCCGGUUUAAGCGUGUAGGUGUGUGUUCCAGGUAAAUCCGGUUCACUUUAACACUGAGGCGUGAUGACGAGGCACUACGGUGCUGAAGUAACAAAUGCCCUGCUUCCAGGAAAAGCCUCUAAGCAUCAGGUAACAUCAAAUCGUACCCCAAACCGACACAGGUGGUCAGGUAGAGAAUACCAAGGCGCUUGAGAGAACUCGGGUGAAGGAACUAGGCAAAAUGGUGCCGUAACUUCGGGAGAAGGCACGCUGACACGUAGGUGAAGUGAUUUACUCACGGAGCUGAAGUCAGUCGAAGAUACCAGCUGGCUGCAACUGUUUAUUAAAAACACAGCACUGUGCAAACACGAAAGUGGACGUAUACGGUGUGACGCCUGCCCGGUGCCGGAAGGUUAAUUGAUGGGGUCAGCGCAAGCGAAGCUCCUGAUCGAAGCCCCGGUAAACGGCGGCCGUAACUAUAACGGUCCUAAGGUAGCGAAAUUCCUUGUCGGGUAAGUUCCGACCUGCACGAAUGGCGUAAUGAUGGCCAGGCUGUCUCCACCCGAGACUCAGUGAAAUUGAACUCGCUGUGAAGAUGCAGUGUACCCGCGGCAAGACGGAAAGACCCCGUGAACCUUUACUAUAGCUUGACACUGAACAUUGAGCCUUGAUGUGUAGGAUAGGUGGGAGGCUUUGAAGUGUGGACGCCAGUCUGCAUGGAGCCGACCUUGAAAUACCACCCUUUAAUGUUUGAUGUUCUAACGUGGACCCGUUACCCGGGUUGCGGACAGUGUCUGGUGGGUAGUUUGACUGGGGCGGUCUCCUCCUAAAGAGUAACGGAGGAGCACGAAGGUUGGCUAAUCCUGGUCGGACAUCAGGAGGUUAGUGCAAUGGCAUAAGCCAGCUUGACUGCGAGCGUGACGGCGCGAGCAGGUGCGAAAGCAGGUCAUAGUGAUCCGGUGGUUCUGAAUGGAAGGGCCAUCGCUCAACGGAUAAAAGGUACUCCGGGGAUAACAGGCUGAUACCGCCCAAGAGUUCAUAUCGACGGCGGUGUUUGGCACCUCGAUGUCGGCUCAUCACAUCCUGGGGCUGAAGUAGGUCCCAAGGGUAUGGCUGUUCGCCAUUUAAAGUGGUACGCGAGCUGGGUUUAGAACGUCGUGAGACAGUUCGGUCCCUAUCUGCCGUGGGCGCUGGAGAACUGAGGGGGGCUGCUCCUAGUACGAGAGGACCGGAGUGGACGCAUCACUGGUGUUCGGGUUGUCAUGCCAAUGGCACUGCCCGGUAGCUAAAUGCGGAAGAGAUAAGUGCUGAAAGCAUCUAAGCACGAAACUUGCCCCGAGAUGAGUUCUCCCUGAGACUUUAGGUCUCCUGAAGGAACGUUGAAGACGACGACGUUGAUAGGCCGGGUGUGUAAGCGCAGCGAUGCGUUGAGCUAACCGGUACUAAUGAACCGUGAGGCUUAACCUUACAACGCCG
rnacentral:rRNA from 1 species